GUUCGAGUAGUGUAGUGGUUUAUCACGCCAGUCUCACAUGAAACUCUCCUUUUCCCCCUUUUCGGGGGUGAGGUAGAUAUGUAUGUAUACACUGGAUGUCCUGGGUUCGAACCCCAGCUCGAACA